CUAAGGGUAAGGGAGACUGAUGUUCUCUGGUUAGGCAUGAACAGAUACAGUACAGGCAGCAAGAAUGCAAGCUUCCCCUAUGCUGCCCCACCCUGACCCGCAGGAACCACCUCUAUAGAGGGGAAUAGAAAUUCAGACUCCAGACCCAUUCAGCCCUUGGCCUCU
rnacentral:sRNA from 1 species